CGCACAUUGCGCCCCUCGGCAUUCCGAGGGGCAUGCCUGUUCGAGCGUCAUUGCACCUCUCAAGCGUAGCUUGGUCUUGGGUCACACCCUCCCGGGUGAACCCGAAAAACAGCGGCGAUCCGGGGGACUCCGAGCGCAGUCAAUUUUUCAUCGCUCCGCAAGCUCCCUUCGGCCCAGCCGGAAACCUUUUAAUUAUCAAUGAUUGACCUCGGAUCAGGUAGGGAUACCCGCUGAACUUAA
rnacentral:misc_RNA from 1 species